rnacentral:rRNA from 1 species
GAUGAACGCUGGCGGCGUGCCUAAUACAUGCAAGUCGAGCGAACAGACGAGGCGCUUGCUCCUCUGACGUUAGCGGCGGACGGGUGAGUAACACGUGGAUAACCUACCUAUAAGACUGGGAUAACUUCGGGAAACCGGAGCUAAUACCGGAUAAUAUAUUGAACCGCAUGGUUCAAUAGUGAAAGACGGUUUUGCUGUCACUUAUAGAUGGAUCCGCGCCGCAUUAGCUAGUUGGUAAGGUAACGGCUUACCAAGGCAACGAUGCGUAGCCGACCUGAGAGGGUGAUCGGCCACACGGGAACUGGGACACGGUCCAGACUACUACGGGAGGCAGCAGUAGGGAAUCUUCCGCAAUGGGCGAAAGCCUGACGGAGCAACGCCGCGUGAGUGAUGAAGGUCUUCGGAUCGUAAAACUCUGUUAUUAGGGAAGAACAAAUGUGUAAGUAACUAUGCACGGCUUGACGGUACCUAAUCAGAAAGCCACGGCUAACUACGUG